UUGAUCCUGCCAGUAGUCAUAUGCUUGUCUCAAAGAUUAAGCCAUGCAUGUCUCAGUACAAGCCACAUUAAGGUGAAACCGCGAAAGGCUCAUUAAAUCAGUUAUGGUUCCUUAGAUCGUACCCACAUUUACUUGGAUAACUGUGGUAAUUCUAGAGCUAAUACAUGCAAACAGAGUUCCGACCGGAGACGGGAGGAAUGCUUUUAUUAGAUCAAAACCAAUCGGCGGCGGGUGCGUUCGCGCGCCCGUUCGCCGCUCAAUCUGGUGACUCUGAAUAACUUUCGGCUGAUCGCACGGUCCAGCACCGGCGACGCAUCUUUCAAAUGUCUGCCUUAUCAACUGUCGAUGGUAGGUUCUGCGCCUACCAUGGUCGUAACGGGUAACGGGGAAUCAGGGUUCGAUUCCGGAGAGGGAGCCUGAGAAACGGCUACCACAUCCAAGGAAGGCAGCAGGCGCGCAAAUUACCCACUCCCGGCACGGGGAGGUAGUGACGAAAAAUAACGAUACGGGACUCAUCCGAGGCCCCGUAAUCGGAAUGAGUACACUUUAAAUCCUUUAACGAGGACCAAUUGGAGGGCAAGUCUGGUGCCAGCAGCCGCGGUAAUUCCAGCUCCAAUAGCGUAUAUU
rnacentral:rRNA from 1 species